GCCUGCAGUACUUCGUCGACGCUUUUUAUCAAUCCCGAAGACUUUAGUUUAUUAAAAAUCAGUCCCGAAUCGUCACCAAGUCCUUCCAGAAAAGCUUGCGACUGAUGUAAGACACUUAGCCUCACAUUUAACUCGCCAGUGUCGCCAAUGAAAGAUCUCCUGAGCCGCCCGAGAAUGUUAUCAGGAAGAAAUCGAAUACAGUGUAACGUGAAAGUGAAAGCACCAGCAGUCCCUAAAGGGAUGCCUCGAUAGCAUAACCCUUCAGUCCGGUGCCGUUCCCACGAGUCCCUCGAGAUAACCUCAAAGUAUAUAUAUGGCGAGUUCAGGGUCUCUACAAGAUACAGAAUGAAACAAUUUUAAGGGGGCAACUCGAACCGGCCCAAGUCUGCAUACUGGAGCGACAUUUUGAGGCUACUAAUCUGGAAAAUUGGUCAAAAAAUUCAUGAAUAUUUUGGGCAAGAAAGAAGUACCAAUAAUAAAUAAUUCAAUGUUUAGGUGA